GCGUAACUCCAGACAAGCAUCGCACGAUCCUUCUCUAGCUACCGGCACGAGCCAGCCCGCUCCUACACCUCCAUGAUCACGAUUUCAUUCACUUCAUGGAAGCUAGCUUGCUAUGAUGGAGUGCUUGUUUUUUCUUUGAUGAAACUUUGCAUUGUAUCUAGCUUGCUAUGAUGGAACUUGCUAUCUUGAUGAAACUUUGCAUUGUAAUAUGUAUAUGGAUGGAACAAUGUGUAUGGAUGGAACUUGAUGGAACUUGCUUAUGUAUGAAUGGAUGAAACUUAAUUA